CCCCCACCCACCCCCUCACACACACACACACACACACACACACACACCCUUAUCUGUCAAUGCUGCUUAAAUAAUGUAAUUAAUGACUUAAUUAACAUUUCCAUAAUCUAUUUUAAUAAAUCUAACACGGCAUAAUGAGAGUUUCUAACCUCCAGGCAAUGGCAUAUACAAAUUCACAGUGCAGAGCCGCGUGGUCAGGGCCCUGUCGCAGCGCCCCCAACGCUCACUGUCACAGUGAGGGAAGGAGAGGGCACAUGUUGUGUGACAGCCUUCCGAAAGGCAGUUCAAGCCUGACAAAUGUCAUGUGACUUUGUGAAUGUGUCCACUAACAGACCUGCAGCACGACGAUGAGGGCAAAAAAAAAAAAGAGAGAGAAAAGAGAUGAAUUUGAAGGUUCAAAAUGUUGAAAGCGAGCCGGGGUGCAAUGGAUGGAAAUGAGAAGGAAACGGUCUGUAAGUAGACAGCGAGGGCGAACCAAUGAUUUCAGUGGGUUUCCUUUUACGGUCAUUUCAUAGCUUUUAGCAUGAGAACUCAAAGCUGCUGUACCCUUUGCUUCUUCUGUUAAAAUGUAAAAUGUCUUUAUAAUGGCAGGGCAAAAGAAACAGCUUUCCUUUUGAACAGAUGAAGCGUUGAAGGGUGAAUAUUUACAGCAGCAGACUGUCUCUGCAUAAAUACCCAUUAACUCCUGUGCUGCCUUCAUGGAAAGGAAACAUUUCACCCACACAAACAACAAUUAGUAGGACGAUGUAGUCUUUGCAUUCUCCUCUCUUCGUGGAAUAUUCAUAUUGCUAAUAUUGCUAAUACAAAUUAGCAAAAUGCUCAUUACUUUUAUUUCUUGAUGUUGAAAAGAUCCUUACUUAAUAUGUUCCAUCUAAUGAUAUACUCAGAACUGACCUAUGGUGACAAAAAUUUGACAACUUAAUUGCUUUGCAGCAAACAAAACUUGUAUCUGAAGGUCUGUAGCCAUGGCAACUGACAACAGGUAAUGGAGGCUCGUUCACUGCGAGGCCAGCGAAAGGCUCUCGGCCCUGCCAAUAGUCUGGCAUUAUUUCAUGUUACCGCUUCAUCAACAGUCGGCGUAAAUGAGCGAAUGAGUGCACGUUCACCGCAGGAAAAAGGUCAUCGCGAUGUGUUUACUGGCUAAUCUUUGUCUCGUUCCCGUCUCAGAGACAACCAGGCCCAGCGCGGGGAGAGGGACAAGGGGGUUGCUCCUCACAAGGACCUCCACCCCUGGGGUGAAGAGUGACUCAGAUUCACCCUGACAGGGGGCAGCAGGAGGCUGGCACAUGCAAGGCAGCACAAGCACCACGGGGCACCGAUCUCUGAGGCCAAUCAAUCCUAAUAAGGACACCCGCCAACCUUCCACUUGCACCAGUAAUAAUGAAAGCGUCAGUGGACAGAAAACCUGUUCAGUGCAGCGGGACACCUCCAGUGUUUCAUAAUGAUACAGCAGAUCUGGGCUACGGUUUUAAUGUAAUGAAAGGGAUGAUUCAUGCACAGGAACAACGUGUUAGCGUUCUAACAGUACGGCAGUUCGCAUGACAGCAUAUGUGAACCUCUUUCAACUCGAUACCUGCAGCCAAGUUCAGCCAAGAAUGUUGCUGCAGCGUCUGAAGCUGCUGAACGUGUUGUAAACAAACCAAUUUCCUGUCAUAAAAUUACAGCUCAUUACUAGCGUGGACGUGGGCUUCUACAACAUAAUGAUGCAGAAGCACAUUACCAGCGCAACCAUAUUUAUUAAUUGCCAGUUCACUCGCCACAUUCCUUGGAAAGGCGCUUGAUUGGGGGGGGGAAAAAAAAGUUACGAGGCUUGUUGAGUUAAUUACAAACAGCCUCUCUUAUGUUAGUUAAUCCUGGAGAAAGGACUGCAGCAGAGCGCCGCGUUUUCAUUUCGCUGCUCGCACAUUAACCAGUUUAAAUUGAUUGGAGGAUUACAUCACUUUUACUACUCCAAUUAUUAUUUACAAUUAUUUGUUUUAAGCCGGGCAGCUUUUCUAAAUCCCGUCAUUCAGUUGACUAUGGCCGGUCAAUAUGUCGCAUUCGUUUUUACAAUCCACUCGCUAUUCUUCAGACAUGUGCAGCCUGAUUGGUGCGCUGCUUUAGGUAAUUACAGAUUACGUAACCGGUAUUUGUAAUCUGAUUACAGUGACCGCCAUAUGUCGCUUUCUGAUGACAGGGUGGAUAUUGUUUAUGCCAGGAAUCUUUUUUACUGGAUGUUGAUACAAACAGACUGUUCAUUUACUAAUGGUUUUCAGUACCACAGGCAUCUUUCCAAUUAGCAAUAUGGAAAUGGCGAAGCAGGGGCGGGGGUCGGACAACAGCGUGUUCUUAGAGAUGAUCAUUUAGACGACACCGACACUUGAAACUGACAUCAAGUUGCAAUUAAAUGUUGCAGAUUAAAAACACUUCUAGGACCGCAGACACAACCAGAGGAGAGAGACCGUGACCAUCAUUUGAAUUAUUAAUGUUCACCAACAUCAGACUUUCAAUCCACCAGAAGAGCGGCUCAAACACAAGCGUGAAAAACAAACAAACCACUCACUUGAUCAGCAGGAUCUCUGCCAGCAGACCAUAAGCAGCGGCUGCCACUUUGAAGGUGGUGGGCGGAGGAGGCCUGGUGAAGGCAGUCAUCAUGCAGUGAACUACAUAAGGUACCAGACCCAUUAAAGCCAAGCCGGUGAUCAGCAUCAGCCACGUCUGCCACUGGGAGCUCACCGAGCGCCAUGGAGAGGUCCUCUGCAGCUGGUACUGGACAAGAGAGAGAAGUACCAUGACUUUAGCGCGCAGACACACCGCUGUGUCCAACCACUGAGAAAUCCAACAGUUGGAGAUUGAUGAAUUUAAUAAAAAAAGGUCCAAAGCCGCAAGCUGUAGAGGACGGAUGGUGUCGACAUGGCCUGCAGGUGUCGACGGCCCUUUUAAGAUAAACCUGGAGAAGGUUGGUGAUCCUCUGACCUUCCGUCUAGCACCACCAUAAGGUCCAAAAAGAUUUGUGUCCAAUAUGCGGAUUCAUGGCCAAAUGCCGGCAAAACUCCUCUGUGUUAAGUGGUGGUCAUGACCAAAUGUUAGCAUGCUAAACUACAAGGGUGACUAUGGUAAGGAUUAUCUGCCACACUUCUUUUUCUUUCUGUAAAUUGAUUCACAAGAAGCUGUAGAGCCGUGUCAGUCCAACCUGUGGUGCUUGUGAUCACACCCGGUGUUGAAGCGGCAGGCAUUUAUAGGUCUGGAUCUCCGCUAUGUAGCCUUAUUAACUUCUUGUUAAAACCUUUAUGAGGUGUGAAAAGACUUAACCUACUCAUUGUCUUUGUGUCAUAAACAUGAGAAGAGUGGAUCACACUCAUCUCAUCUCGACCAGGUUGUAGUUAUUAAAGGUGGGGUUGGUCAUCCUGUUCAAAGUUUAUUUUGGAUAUUUGUUCAAAUCCCAAUAACAUCCUGACAGCAAUUAAUCAACCAAAUCCUUUGACAAAAAAAAAGAGGGUGAAACGAGGUUGAGAAUCUGUGGCCGUCGUCGGGCUGUAACAGGCCCGUCUCAUCAUUGCAACUGACCCGAAUGUAAUGAUUGGACUGUGCAUGUUCUGCCCUGCGGUCAUCGCUGUUCACAAGUCUCCCACAAGCUGCACCAACAACGGCCCCUCUCAAAAUCUACCACACUCAAGCAUGUUUCUCAAGAUGCCCACACUUUGCUUUGAAUUAAUGGUCUAAUGCACGAGUUUCUCACUCGUUUGUUUUAAAAGUCUUCACUCUAUGGUGACACAAACUAGUUUAGUUGGUUUUAAAAUAAUCAAUAACACGCUGAGCUACCAGGGCAACGAGUGAACCAGGACACACUUUUUCCUGGUAACUGUAAUGUGAACCCAUAGUGGAGAGAAAACAAACCCCUUUGUUGGAAUAAACUCAUUAAUACAACCUCACACCUGUUCUAAACAUCCACAGCUCUUUUGUUACCUGCGAAUUGGCACUUAAAACAAACAGACAUAGAAGAAACGUUCACACUGACGCAUACAUGACAACAAUGGAGGAUGUGUGCUGUCAUGGAGCCGGUAUGCAAACAUUGCCUUAAGUCCUCUCCAAAUAUCCCUUCGCUCUGGAGGCAAAAUAAACCACUUGAAGAGCGUUUGAUUAGUGUCUGGAAUUCAUCCGCAAAUGCACACUUGCCCUCUUUCAUGGCUGCUAUUCAUUAAUUAGAUUCUUUGUGCAACUGAGCUAUCCUCAAUGUUUAAGGUUACAUCAGGCCUCAGUAAGUGGCUGCCUGAUAACACAAUGCAUCCAUCUUCAUUACUAAGCGCUUUCUGUCUAGGCUCGCUCCUCCACAAGUGAGCUAUGUCAGUAGGCUCAGAGGAACUCAUACAUUUCUUUGCAUUCAGAUUGUGAACUUUUGCCUCCUUUGAUUUAAGUCGCCCUGAUUAAAUGAUUAGGUUGUGGUUUCCCCUCGUAUCGGGUUCCUUUGUGGUGAUUUUUCCCUUCACGGGGUGGAAUAGUGGUGCGGCCAAAUGAAAACCAAACAGCUCGGUGUGUUCUUAGAUUAUAAACUAUCUUCAUGAAUGCAUUGAAGGGAUUGUCACAUAAACAGUGCAGCCAAGGAAUCUGUAAAUACUGUGUUAAUGUCACAUUCCAUCCUGUUCUAUUGAAUCCAUCGGGAUUUAGCCAUUGUUGCCAAUUAAAGCCAAGUAAAGUAAAACUGGCUCUUUUUCAUUUCAGACACUGGCCAUAUGUGUAAAAUAAAUAGAUUUCAAUGGAUUUAGAACCUGGGAUGUAAUAAUUCAGAUAAGAUUAAAUUUGAAAUUAUAUUUCUACCAAAGGAAUCAUCAGAAUGCACACUAGUUUCUUUUGUCCAUGUAACCGUAGUCCUUUCUUUCUGCCAAAAAGAAGCCCAGACAUUCAGACAAACCGAAACACGCGUAUUCAAUUCGAGAGGGAAUAUGAAAAGACACCCAAGGCCAUAAAGUCGCAAAUGUGUUGCCACACAGUGAAGGUUUUCUGUUAUUUACACAUGGACCCUGAUGACCCAAGCUAGCCAGGAGGGACUGACUGUCGGAUAGGACUUACGGCAUCUCAAUUGUCUCUUCAAGGCUCUGACGGUGAGCCGGCAGCUAACAAUUCUAACAAUGCAAGUUAUGGCGGGAGUGGAACAGUGCUAACAUUAUUUGACAGCGGCUGCUGAAGGAAGCUUCCAUGAGGACACUACAUAGCUGCCAAAGCUUUUCUGUGUUUUCACAAGCAUUCACGCCACACCUCCAAUUUCUCACGAAAAAAAAUAAAUCUGAUUUUGGGCCGAGACGCGUUGGUAGGUGGCGCUAAGGAGCGCAUCUGUUACCCUGUUCGCUGCAAAGACAUCUUCCUCAUCGCGAAGUUAGCGACAGAAGAAGAGUUCAAAAGCGGGAAGAAAAAUCCAUCUGAGCGGAGACCAAGUAUGUUAAUGGCACGUGGUUCAAUUAAGAACUCACGCCCUUAAACUUUAAAUCUUGAAAGCAAUUAUUUGUUUGUGUUUGUGCGUGUGAACUGUGUGCGUUGAAUGUAAACUCAGCGGUCACAAGCAGCAGCAGCAGCAGCCACCUUGUUAAGCUGGUGGUGCACCGCAUGCUCAGAACACCAUAGCGUUGUUUAUUUAGGCUGCUCACAUUAUCUUAUUAUUAACAGGCCAAAGGAAAGGACUCACUCUGAAGACUUCUCCAAACAGGGACCUCAGAAAAUGACAAACCAGUUUCUGAUCUGCGUCUCAUACCUUCUUUUAAGUUAUUUCAUGUGUUGAUCACAAAAAAAUGCUACUGUGUAAGCACUUUAUUUGUUGCACCUUUUUGUUUGAUGGGUUUGAACGUGUGGUGGGAGGCUUGAAUAAUCAAAAAUAUUUCUCCCUAACUAAUCAUGUGCUAUUUUUGCUGAACAUAAAUCAUUAAGUGCUCUUAAGAAUACAAUUAACAAUAUAGGUUAGGUUUCAAUUAAGAAUUGGUUGAAUACCAUUGUAAUCAAAAUUUCCAUCACCCUACCUCGGUCAAAUCUCAAACACAGGUCUAUUAAUUAGGCUUUACUGUGGCGCAUAGACAGUCAUUGAGGCACAACAAUAGUUUUCUGGUUGAAUGUUCAGCUCAAGUGUAGAAGGCCCCACAAGUCAAGAGCAGAUGAAAAUGAAUCAGAAUAAGUUCAGGCAUACCCCCCAAAAAAUCCACUAUAAUGCAGGAAAUCAAGACCAAAAUGUCCUGUGGGUGGACCUCCAGCUGUGUCUUUGCUUCACAGAAUGUAACCAAUGUUGUCCAUCUCCAGUAGGCCGCCGCUAUCGACGACUUUGGGCCCCACAAACCACCAGAUUGCAGGGCACAACAUGGCUACAACGCCAAAUUAAUUCCGAUCCCCGCAUUUUUGAGCCACCAACGUGUGUGGCUGCGUGCGCGGUAAAGUUUUGGUCCCUCCCUUUGGUCCCGUCUCACACCAAGGUUUUGUGAAAAGUUGGCAGCUGUGACACUAACGUGUGUGGGAGCGGUGCCUUGCUAGCCUGUGGAUCUGCUAACAUGCUAACAUGCGCUACGAGCACAAACCAAAUGUGAGUCAACAAAGCAAGAAGAAGCUUCAAAAUCACAGAGGGACUUGCUCAGGUAGACAUUACGCCACUAUAGCUUUACAUAACUAAUAGUUGUUUGAUUCUAUAUCGCUGCUCCUUUAAGGUUCGGUCCACAGCCAUUGAAAACCUCUUUGGUGACAACCCUGAAAAGGCUAAUUGAAUAGAAGCUGUUAGCGUCACAUCUAUUAAAGCCACCGCGGCCUUUAGUCAUAUCAAGGCCAGAGCCUGUUUGAAUCAGGUUAAAAGCGGCUCAAUAUGUUCUUUGUAUUCCCUCAGCCAAAGGAACUAUCGGUGGAGGGGCUGAGUAAAGCAGCCGUGAGGAGACGGGCCGCUGCAUCUGUCUUGUGUCCGUGUGACUCGGCGUGGAAUGUCUUCAGGGCUUUAGUGUUUUGGAGGCCAGCGGUUCAGAGGGAGAGAAGACACAAUAGUCCAUCUAUUCCCUAAAGAGAAGCAUGAUUAAAGACACGCUGUAUGAAGAUAUGUUUCACAGGCCUGGCAGACCUGCUCGCCCCUUUGUGAGGAACAGCAAAUUACAUUUCCUCAGCAACUAAUCUUACAUUCAAAUAACACGUGGUAAUCCAAACAGUAGGCUGAGAAGCAAAGCUAUAACUUAAAAAGUCAACACGCAGCGCAUUAACCACCGGUUAAAAAUCACAGUGUGUUAAUUACAUCCUGAUGUUUUAUGACUAUGACCUUUAAACACCAUACCGAUCAAUCAAUACAGGAGGGAAGCAGCCUAUUGGGAAUAGUUUGAUCCGCAGAAUUUGAAAGUAGGGCACUGUUUUAUCCAAACACAAUCAUUAUUAAUAGCCGGACAGUCAACCCAAAUACAUGUUCUGCAUAUUUUCCACAUUAUCCCCUCUUCCUUAAGGAGUACAAACACAACACAUGGUCCAGCAUGGAGAUCAUUAAUUAACCAGGUCACACUGCUACUGCAAAGCGGACAAAUACAAUAAUAUCCUUAUAAAGGCACGGUCACACGGCCAUUUUAAUGACUACAACAUAUUCUCAGAUUUAUCAAAAUCAAAUAAGAAAAAGCUUGUAUUGUUUUCAGAUGUAAUGCCCGAGGUGGAGCAAUGUCCUCUGUUACUUUGGUGACAAACUUUAGUUUUGGAGCAGUUUACAGUGAUAACAGAGGCACAUUCGAUGCUCGAUAUUUCAGAGGACGUUUUGGAAACAAUGUGUGCUUGUGUUCAGACUAAAGUAGACCAAAACAGGCCCGUCGUGUUCAACAAGUUGGCUUCACUUCCAUCCGUCUGAAAGUCGAGCUGUUCCUGGAUUCAGCUGCUGCUAUUUAAAUAAACAAAGUUAGCUCUUUGAGUGGAAAUGCUGAUCAGCCUAAAUUUCCAAUGUUUUCAGCGGACUCAAACCGAACAUGAAAACCCUUGAAAACAGGACAUCGUGCUCAGUAACUGCUGGAAUGAAGCGCAGAAGUUAGAUUUUGAAUCAAUAACUUCAGGGAGGAUUCUCGCAUAGUUUAUUGCACGCUUUGUCAUUUUGGGUUAGCGUGACUGUGCCAAUAACAGAGGGCCGUCUCCUGUCGGCGGGGAGGAACAAUUCGUAUUUAUCGUUUUCUCGUUUCUGCUUCUUUGUCAUUUUUACCCAACAAACAAAGCUUCAAAAUAUGUGUAUUGUCCCUGUAACCAAAUACGAUGGUCUUUGACGUGAAGUUGACACUUUCUUCACAUGCCGUCUUUUUCUUUUUUCAUCAAAAAUGAAUUCCAGUACAUAAAAGACUCCCCGUUUGAACCUGAUUGCUACGCUAAUCAUUAAACAUUCAGUGUUAAGUGACACUUUGCAAAAUGUCAAUUCCACCUUUGGAUGCCAAAUCCGGGGGAACAUCUGCGCACGUUUCCUGGUGCCGGUGGACUGUGGCCUUCAGACGUUUUAGAUGUUUUUCCAUUAAGCUAAAGGGGGAAAUACAUUUACUAUAGGCUGCUAAAAAGCUUACCAAGGAACUGUACCACGUAUACCUACAACGCUUGAAGAUCUGGAUUGCUUUUUGCUGAAUUCAGUGCUGAGUAACCUUUAACUGGCCGUUAUCGGCGUAUUGACAAUCUUUAGUUAGAUCUCCUAAUUUAAGUCGCAACACACAUUAACUGUGUGAUGUGGAGAUGCCCGGCAGCUCCGGAGACAGUCUCCCCUGUGCACGCUGCUUGUUUGCUGACAACAGGGAUGAAGUUCUACUUAGCAGGACCGGACUGGAAAGUCUAUUAACUUAUUGAGAUUAAGAGCCUGAUGCCUUCCCUCCCACCCGACCCUCCGUGGCCCCCCUCCCCCGACCGGCAGCACACCUCCAAAGGAGAAAGGUGAUUGAUGAGAGCCAUCAGGCGGCCUGGAAUCUCUUCUCUCAUUAGACUCCUCGUGCCUCUAGCUGUUUCAACACACACACACACACACACACACACACGCACACACACACACAGGGAGAGCAUGGCGGCGUUGUCCAUUCCUCUAACUUUUUAGAAGAUAAGUAUUCACACUAAAAUAUUUACCUCGAACAUUAAUCUCUGGGGAGUUAAUUUUCCAUUAUACUUUUUCUCUGAGAAAUAAAAGAACUUUUUUUAAUGCCUGUGGUUUCCACUCCCUACUCUCCUCUCCAUGCUCACUGAGCUUUCCCAUCUUUAGACGCACUCAUGGGACUGCUUGUAAAUGAACGUCCCGGGGGGGGUGGGGGGGGCUGUGUUUGGACAGUGGGGUGGAUCCUAUCCUCCACCGCUGAGGAGGCUUGGCUUGAGUGGUGGAAAGGAAAGAAGGUUACAUAUGCAUAUCCCUAAAGCAGACAUGAUCAAUCACAUUAAUGCGAGCGCAGCACAUUAUUAGUAGCAUUACUAUAAUGUGCUGCUGAUUGCACCGCUGCAAACCAAGUGGGGCCCAAUCUGUCCAGAUAAAUAACCUCAAUGUACCCAAGGCCAGAUCCAAGAUAAAUAGUCAGAGUUAAUAGAGUCAAUUCCUUCUCCAGUACCAAUGUAGAUUUGUUUUAACUCAACUUUAAAACGUUUUUUUGAGCCAGUAAUUAGGAUAAAUUACACGAAUUAAAUAAUGCAGUGUUAAUAAGGAACAACCACGGGUAUAAAGUGGAAAUCUUUCCCUUCGCCCCUCCGUCAAACAGCGAUGCGUCCAAAUCAUCGCAAUGUGAGCAAGACUCAAGACAAAACGGAUGGAUCCAACUUCUAAAAAGCUGCAAACGUUAUCAUGUCCAACUAACUGGUUUACUACCCAACAUAGAAUAUCUUAUGAAGGCAGAAUAUGUUUAGCAUCCGAAGGGUUCUGGUCUCCGUUUAUGGUCCGAGCAGUACUGACCAAUCACGUUAGAGCGCGCCUUGCUGGCACAGCGUGUGUCACAGCACGAGAGAGUCGCCUCGACGCACAUGUAAUCCCUGAAGUAUCCGUGUUUGUGCGGAACAGUUGCUGGUCGGACUGAGCCGAUGGGGACGGCCAAACUGGUGCCGAGCGUCAGCGGACACCGAACGCUCGUCUCCGCGGAGUAAAGAUGAGCAGCCUGCGUUUGUCUCGCUGGGUGGCGAAUCGGCCCUGUUCUCCAUGUGUUAUCGCUGUCACCUGCCUUUGUGGGAAAAGGCGAGCUCGAGGAGAGUAGAGGCUGAAACUUGGCUGGCGCCUUUGCAGUGAAGUGUAAGACGGUGUGAGAGGAUGUGCGUGAGUGGGAACGACACAGAAUGCCUUGUCUGGGAGCAUUCGUGGGUCCGAGGGGGGGGAGAGACACACUGCUGGCCUAUGAAGGGUGGGGUUUUGGUCAUCUGCCAUCGGAUAAGAUAUCCUGACAAGGCAAUCAAAGAGAAACAAAUCCUGCAGCCACACAGGUUCAACCCUCUCGUUCCUCACCCUGAUGAGCUUUUGAAAAAUGGAGUGCGGUUGGAAUUGGUUUUGUAUGAGAGGCUUCAGAUCUGUCUCUUGUCAGGAUUAUUGCCACCCGUCUUCAUUGGGCUGCAAAGGUCCGUUAAUUAAUCUGCCUCUCCGUCUUAGUGGCCGGAGAACAAAGUGCCGCCAACCCUCUUCAGGCCUGGCGUGUACUUCCCGGCAAAUACACACCGACUCCAGGAUACGACUGCUUUGAUGUUAAGCAACAUCCCUAAUCAGUAUCAUUAAAACACUACAUCAUGUCCUUCCUCUCUAAUUUUAUGAGUGGAGCUAUUUAAUUGGAUAUUUAAUCUAAUUUAGUUAAUGAAAGUCCUGGGAAAUUUACUUUGAGGGACAGUGAUAUCUCUUGUGAUCAAUGAAGCUGCAAAUAGAGCUCCUCAGAGAUCCUCCACUGACUGAUUAGUGCGGCAUUUACAUAAAUACAGUUAAAAAAAUAAAAGCGCUGCUGCGACAGAAAAUGUGUGCUCUACUCCAUAGGAAGGUUAUCCCAGAUAAAACACGUCAGCUGAUAUCAUUAAAAGCCAGAGCGCCGGCAUGCGAUCCGCCAUUGAUUAAUAGGACAUGGUGAGAUUAAUACGCUGCUGGAUAUCCAAACCAAGCUCAUCAGAGCAAACGUGUCACCACACAACCGUCAGCUGUGAGGCUGCUGCUGCUGCUGUUGGGAAGCGUCCGGCCGGACGACAGAAACAACAACAAUGAAAGAGCAGCUCUCGACGGACGUCUUUCUUCUGCUUGCAGGAGCGUCCCGCGGGAGCUCGCCACUGGCACCGGACCGCGCACGGUGUCAGGUUGAUCGAGCGGGGGUCGUCUGCUGCAGAGUGUCUGCACCUGUGCAUUCCUCCGAGGCCUCAGAUCCCAGCGACUCUUCAAGGGAAGCCUGAACUUGGCCCGCUGUUUGCGGCUCGGGCGUCCCCGGGCCUGCCCUAACCGAGAGCAGCCUGCGCUGUGUGCACACACACACACACACACUCCUGUCACUCUGCGCUGGUGCUUGGGAAUGUAAACCGCCGGUGUCACAGCGGUGCGGUGCACGUGUUUGUUUUCCCGCUGCAGGUGCAGGUGCAGGUCGGGGGCGCAGCGUUGGAGUGCACGCCAAGUUACAACAUGCGAAUGCUUGGAAAGACAAGCGGUUUCUUGGACUCGACCACGUGCGCAAUGAAAGUUCCUUCCUGCACGAGUCUGAACAAAGAGGCAAUCAGAUAGUGUGCUUUCCCCCCCCCCCCCCCCCUCCUCGCCCCCCGAAUGCAGGCCAAGGUAUUCUCAAUCAACAUAUGUUUGAUUAAAGUAAAAAUGAGCUGUUGUUUCUCCAAGGACAUCUUCUCACGUGAAGAAUACUUUUUCAUUUAGCAGACGCUUGAAUGCAGAGCGUCGCCGCCCACAGGUAUAAUCAGCCAGAAAAUGAAUAAUCGUUCUGCAGGACAAUAAUAAAUCACUGUGCUUUGGACAAUUAAUAACGGAGGCGAAGCUCGGGAUGUCUGAUUACAAUAGUUACGAUGCAUAUCAUCAAGAUUUAGAUCUAACAUUUCACAAUGCAAUGUUAGACACCAGUGCACAUUACUGAUGUUUAAAUUUGGCAUUAGGGCGGGUCAGUGGGGGUUGAGGGAUGGUGCGUAUCUUCAUCUACAAGUCUAACUCAACUGCUGGUAGAAAAGUUGCAGGGCAGUACUUUUUGUAGCUCGACAUUUACAUUUGAUAAGCAGAGGAUUUACACGUACGCUUUGUGGAGCGAGUCGACUGAAACGUUCGAGCGCAUAACGUUGAGGAAGAGAACUAGUUUAAUAUCAUAAACAGGACAUUUUCAAAAAUGAGGGAUAUAUUUUCACGUUUGCAGUGGUCAUCCACAUCAAGGUAACAGGGAGGGACUGCUAAAAAAAAUACUAUAUAAUGCUUAAUAUUUGCUCUUAGAUUCAUUAAAGAAGCUUUAAUGAGGAUUAAUCCCUAAUAAAAUGUCUGAGGCUUGAUUUCAGUGCUACAUUUGAUCACAGGAAGUCUUUUUAAAUUGUCGAUUUUCUUAUUUAAGUACAUUCUGUCUCCUGAGGAAUUUGUUUAGGUCACUAUUUUUUAAUUUGUCUACGAGAAAGUCGAUUUAACAACGUUUACUGAUGACAUCACUACAUACAAACAAACAUCAUCAACAGCUCAGAAACACAUUUUAAAUAAUAAAUGAAUAAACUUUAAUAGAAUAUUCAUAACGCUUAAUUCAUUCUACUUAAAUUAUGCAACCCGUGUUUCUAAGCCCCUUGAGUCAAUGAUGUGUUUGCACCAACCUCUGCAGCACGAGUUAGUCAUGUUAAAAGCUUUGGGUUCGCCCUUUCAUCGACCACCUCGGCUCGCUGCGUCAUCUGAAAAUAAAGGGCAGAUGCACCAAAGCCCCUCAGAAUAAAACUCACCAAAUGCGUUGCCAUUUUCUUUUUAACUUUAACCCUUUGACCCCGGUGUGCAUCGCUGGCUGCACUCAGUCUGACAUGCAGAGUCACAGAAGAAGCGCGGCAGGGCGGCGGCGGUCGGCCUCGGUGAGUGGACAUAAACCGUCUCCUCCUGACAUGUGGUGGGAGGAGGACUCGUCUCGAGGCACACUCACUGAGGCGGCAGCUUGAUGAUCCCGGGCCGGUGAUUUAUUUAUCUUGGGCACGUUGUGAGGCUGUAAGAAUUUGGUGACGUUAGAAUCCUAAUUAAAACUGUUAAUCACCGAAUCCUGUUUGUUCAGCACAGCAGUGAAAUGAGAAAUGUGAUCAAAUUAUCCAUCGCUCCCUUUCAGACAGGUACGUCAGCACAGCCGAGACCGAAGGUUUUUCUUUCAAAGCUUAUGAAGACUUUAAUCCCCAGGUUUUCAUUUGUCAUACUCCGACAUUUUAGGCUGACAUCAACAACUCUAUCACCUGAUCAGUUUGGAUUCAUCUAUUUAUACAGACAUCCGGCGAAAUUGGACCCAGGCUUUCCAAUUAAUGCAAUGGAGCGGAUCAAAGUUUGUGUGCCACAAUACCACAGUACUGCCUCUAUUUGUUUUUUUACAAAGAUGAUGACGACAGAGUGUGGAAAUCUUAGUCCCGCUUGUUGAGACCCACACAGGUACAGUACGUAACCCAUGAUGUAAUGAACCUAAAGCCGUCUGAAAGGAAGAUCCAUGUAUCCUUUGAGUUGCUCUACAGAAAGGGGCACCGGGGAGCAUCGGGGGUCUUGAAGGUGAUACAGACGUAGUUGUUUCGCUGCCUGUCGUUGGGACCCUAUUAAAGUAAGGUGGACACCAGCAGGGGGUCCUAUAAUGCGUAAUAGCUGCCUGAUAUUAACAUAAAAUAAAUGGAUAUUCGCCUCAAUGUGUGCAGACACAGUGAAAAUCUCCGCCUCAGGUCAGACGAAAGGUGAAUAUUAGUCCAAUCUUAAAAGAAGAGAUUGUGUAAUGCGUGGCAUUAGUGACACGUGACUCAUGUUUUCAGUGGGAAUUUCAGAUGGAGGAAAACUGCAGUGCACGACGUAUUAGAGGGUUAGCGUGUAAAGAACGGGUUUGUCAGCACUUGUUCCUACACACAUUAUUCGACGUACGCGGUGGUCAGAAGCAACGGUUAAGUAUACACUGUGUAUGUACACAUCGAGCUCGCUACUCUUCAGCUGGAUUGGACCGGUGACAACUUUGAAAAUAUCACUGCUGGCCACGAAUCACCACAUCCGAGGAAGCAGUUCACAGACGAACUGUGGAUCCUCCGGGGGAACUUCCUGCUUAAUGGAUAAUAAUGAAGAAUGGGAGGGUCGCUGUAAAUGAAUUGUGUCCUACUUCCCCAAAGGAACAAGGCAACAGUAAAACUGUGCAGGCUGCUACUUGUCAAAGUCCCCGUCAGCUGGGCAGUGAGGGACACGGGGGCCCGAGGCAGCGCCCUGAGAUAGAAAGCAUUACGCCAUGUCACGGCACGUCGGCGUGCAUCAUCAACGUAAACGUUAGUCUAUGUAAUUCAACAGCAGUUUCAGCUAUUCGAAUGAACUAUUAAACAGCGGCGUAUCGGCACAUCUACGGCAGAUCUAACGUUCUGUAGGCCACAGUAGACACAGUCCCUCAAGAGCAUUCAUAUGUUAAACUAAAUGCAGACGAUCACGCGUAUUAACAGGCCUCAGUUCUGAUCGGUGUGGUAGCGCUCGCUCGGGUUUUUUGAAUUUGGAUCAAGUCUUCUAAGACGUUUCGUGAAAUAUGAAGGACGGACUGAAUUAUAUGUUUCGUUCAGAAUUUCAUUUCGAGAAGCACAUAUUUAAAAUGUACAAAAAAAAAGGAAUAUUCCAUUUCACCAAAACUGAGUGGAGUUUAAGAAGGACGAAGAGCACAGAUCCUCAGUAUCUUCUCCCGUGUGCAUGUUCGAUCCGGAGCUCAUGCCAGACCAAAUAACACUGAAAUAUGGAAAAGUGGGUCAGGGUUAUGCGUGCACCUUUUUAAAUGUAUACUAUGCAAUUUAUUUAUAUUUGAUUUAUCUUAGGCUCCAAUCAUUAGAUGACUGGAGUCACUCAGUACUUUUAGAGUCACGCAAACAAACAAGUGAUUACGGAAAACGAUGACGGUAAAUGACUAUAUUAUUGCUUCCUUAGCUUUAUUUAUUGCUUGGUACUGUAAUGAUGCAAUGUUAGUGAUGCAUUUCAGCUUAAUGAGCUGAGACAAUGGUCAAUUAGCAGCUAGUAAGUUGAUAUAUUGCUUUUCACUGAUUCCCCCAUGGGAGGCCGCCGCAGAAAACUUAAGACACUUCUUUCUGCCCCUCAUGCCUUUGUGUUACAAAUGUUUCUAAUGUCGACUUGUGUGUAUUGUAAAAGUACAAUUUGUAUAAUGUUUGGUUGAAAGGAAGCAUGUCACCCAAAGUGAAUGGGGGUAUUAAGGUUAGUAACAGGUUAGAUUUAGUGCGGCCGUUAGUUGAAAAAAGACCUGAAAUCCCACAAAUGAUCGGUUUUGAGCAAUGAGAGCUUUCGCAGCCGGACAAUUCUGGUGGACGUCAUGAGCGAUGUGAAUGAAUGAGACGGGGCGAGAUCUAGACCACUGAAAUGCGAUACACAACGUUUGGUGGUUAAUACUAUUUUAUGCUGAAAGGCAGCUAUUUACUUACUAUUUAUAAUUUCACUGGUAACCGUAUUAUAAAAGCAAUAAGGUUCGAGGCGGUACUUUAUCUUCAAUAAUGUAACAGUUCGAGGGAUAACAACACCUCCGAACUGUUCCAUUGUUGGACGAUAAAGUACAGCCUCUCGUACCUUAUUGCUUAAAUAACGUCCUGGAAAGUAAAACAUAAUUCUGUCAAAUUGUUGGUCACAUCGAUAUCUUACUUGAACUGUGUCUCUGUGCAGAAUCGUCUGUGUAAGAAUUGCUCUAAAUUCACUCAUUUAUGAGUGGAAACAUUAUUCUUUAUAUUCAUUGUAUGCUCGCCUGCAGACAACCUGACGGUUCUGGGAUGUUCAGCUGACACUGCGGUUAUUUCAGCUUGGCAGUUUGUAAGUAAUGGGAAGAGUAAGAAGAACCUACAAUCAUAGCCAAGUUUCAUUAUUAUUUCCAUGGAAGUAGAUGUCUAACAAUAAAUUCACAAUAAUACAAGUGAAAACCAGCCAAACAUCUAACAAAUAAAGUAUUUGUGUGUAGCAAAGCACUUUUCCCCAGCUUUCCUAUCCCAAUUAUUACUGCGCUAACCUUCAGACUUAUCUUGCAAAUCUCUGAGGGGGUCCCGACCCCCACGUUAGGAAGUGCACACUGUACGUUUAAUUAGAAGUCUGUCAGUUAGCAGUCACUGCCUUUUUCAAAUAUAAGUCUUAUAACACGAGUGUAAUGAAAUUCUGAACAAAGCGUACGAUCGUCAGAAUCAUUUACGAAUGGAAGGUGUAGUUCAACAUGGGUUAACUUUAUGAAUUUGUCAGAGUAGCUGUCACUCAAGUCCUCUCCAUCCGUGGCAAAUAACGGAGCGCUCGGUCGUCUUAAGGUGUUCAUUCUACCGUGUGACAGCCCCUGUGGGUGAGCGGCGCCCGCUCCAAAAGCCCGUCCACACACAGAUCCGGAGCACUGGUGACCUUUAAUUUCAUUCACGCUGUGUACAAAUGACUUCAGCGUAGCCCACUUAGAAAAACAAAAAAGUCUGUGAAAGAAAGUCCUUGCGAGAUUGUAGCUUCUCUGGGUUUCGGCACGCUGGCAUUAUCUACUCGGUAGCUUUAAUGACUUCCUGCCGAGAGGAGAGCCACGGUGGGAGCCUUGGCAGUCAGACUAAGAAUAGCAUUAGACACAAGGUUAUCGGGGCAUUACACUCACUGUAACAUGCAAUUAACUCUAGUCCUCCUGUUUCCAUUAAGCAAUUAUUCAUUAAUGUCAAUUUAAUUUUAUGCAUUGUUCUACAUGACCAAUGCCUGAUUACGGGGCCCUCGCGCGCCAAUAUCCCAAGUUAACUGGUGCCGGCCUCACUUGCAGGGCCGCCUAAUUGCAAUUUAGCCCUAGACAGCACCUCCCUCUUUAGGCCGUCCUUAAUGGAGCAACUGAUCCACAGACAGGUAACGAUUGGAAAGACAAAGUGCCUCUCUCUCUGGAUGGAAAACAAAUGCACUGCUGCUAAGCUGUUUUCUUUGUGAUAGCACGAGGCUCUGCCCUUUGUAUUCAGAGAGGGACAAGAGGUAAUAUGUUUCCUUAAAUCCUAUUUGUCUUCAAAUUCCAUCUCCAUGUAGAAAUAAGCAGAUCCUAUUAAAUCGCAGAGGAAUGUCUACGCGGGAGAAAUGGAAUUCAGAGAGAUAACAAUUUGCAUUUCUCAUGUCAAGAUUAAGGUACCAAAUGCAAGUUGUUCAUUAUGAACUAGCCAAAAGUAUUCUCAAAUGUUCUAAAGAUAUGGGGAGGAACAAACUGGAAUACAUUUAUUCUCAGUUUGACUGUUGGCUGUCUCAGGGAUUCAGUGAGUUUUUUUGGAGUCAGAAAAACAGCCGGAGCAUCUCCUACUAAAGUUCAAGGCUCCUCCAGACUGAUGUAGCAAUGGUAAUACAUUGUAAAAUAUCUCCGAAAAAUGUAAAGAAAACAAACGUGACAUGACAUUUUUAAUCCACCGUGUAGCUGUUCAAACCAGCCCCAAUGCUUACGUUUGCAGGAAUACAAACAGAAGUGCGCUGUUAAGCUAAGCUAGCUGCUAGGCUAAGCUAGCUGCUAUGCUACUUCCAUCUCAACAUCUAACGUUACUUUUCGGUUAAGGCAACACGCUACUUAAAUGUGAAAUUGACUAUGGACUACUGAACACUUAAUGAUGGAACUUAACUGGCGCUGAGUUUAUAUUGCUUCGGAAUUCGCAUUAACCUUAAUUUAUGUGUUUGCAAAUUUAGGUAAAAAUUGUAAGUACAUUUCCCCAAAAAUAUAUAUAUAUCCACAUUACGUAAAAUGAAAUCAGAAGCAAUUAAGCCCGAAUGGAGUCAUUUUUGGACAAUCAGAUCAUCAUGUAAUGAGAUACAAGUGUUGACGACCUAAAUCAAGAAAAUAGAAGAAAGAAAAAAUAUGAGCUAAAGUGUAAGAAAAUGCAUUCAAAAUUCUUUGUCUUUGCUCUUAAAACACAGUGACAGGAAGAACACUCAUAUAAUCAUUUGUUCCAUGUGUUAAUUUACAUACUUUUUGGAUAACAAUCCAUAUCUUUUCUCUCCCUGUGUAGCAGACCAAUGAAUUGAAGAGCUCAUCAUUUAUGUUGGUCUCAGUGUGCCGGAUGUCUCCUGUGCGUCUCUUACCGUGUCCCGCCUCUCACAUCAAGCAGCAUUGCACUGCCCACAGAGACAUGCACGAUAACCUCUCCCCCAUUGGCCAUCUCAGCACGGGUCUGUCACAUGCACGAUAGCACUGCACUCGGGGCAGGGGGGGGGCAAAUAUCUCCCAAAUAUGAUUUGAGAUGAUUGAAAGCUUUUUGAUUUAAAAGUGUAUUCUCUUUAGCUAAGUGCUCCGAGAGACCAUCAAGGAAAUUUAAUUGCCUCACUUAAAGAAAAAAAAAAGCAGGUUUUCUGACCCAAACGAUAUCAGAUCUUAACAUCUCAACAGAAACACAUGGAAUUGGAUGGUCAACUGGCCGCCUAAUGUCAUUGGGAAAUGCAAUUUUCUGAUGGCAUUUCCUAAGUCUGUCUCACCGAAAGAACAAGAUUGAUCAAAAUCUUAAUGAGCCAUUUUCCGAAGUGGACUUUGGCUUUGGCUUAUGGAAGAUUAUGGAGCCAAACAAGCAUGAAUGUUGACCUUAUAAAACCAAACUUUAUCUGUUUGAAAACCAGUCAGCCUGACCGAGGAUUUAUCCGAUUUAUAACGUCAGAGCGGCAGGAGAAAACUUACAAAAAAAUAAACAAAACGUACACUACACAAAGCAUUUCUUUGUGGUUGCUUGACUUCUUUUGUAUAUUCCCCUCCAACAUGCCAAUCCAUCUGAACAGACGCAUUUCACACAUUCUACCCAGCACAGGGGGUCCAGACUGGCCGGCCCCCUGCUAAUAGUCGUGGUCCUAGCUGAUGCCAAGCCGAGGGUGGAUCAUCCCCAACGAAAUGGAGAUACCGUCGGAGGUGAGACUCUAACACACUGCCACAACAAAAAACUCACACAAAAAGGAAAAUCAGUGGGAAUCAAAAGUUUUUUGUACAAACAAGGAACAUAAAGUGCUGUCAUGGGACAUUCGGCUGUUUCCAUCAGACUGGGCAUUUAGGGUGUUUCUACUAAAGGAAAAGGAUGCCACACGUAUCAUGUCCCUUCGAUGGUCCUUUUACCAUGAAAUGUCAAGGCCCUAUGGGUCAGACCACCUCCUUCAUACCAUCUUAUCGCUCAUUGCUGAGGAAAUCAUUUGUUUCCCCAAAUCAAGGAAACCGGUAAACGCCUGCAUGUCUGAUUGAUCGAAAGACGAAGCCCAAAUAUUGCAACUGUGAAAAAAGUGCUUAAUGUAGGACGUGGCUCACAAAUACGUUAUGCAAGGGAUGGUUAUGGCUAAUUGUGCAGCCACUAGUGAAGGAAGGCAGUGAGGUGGAGGAGAAGCAGGCUUUUAGCUCGAUAUUAUGAGAAUCUGUAGGAGUGCUUAUCCACUCCACACUCAGUCCAGUGGCUUUCAAUUUCAUGCCCAGCCUCAAGUGAACACUGUCACACACUAAGAGGACCAUGAAACCGGCCGAUGCAAACGCCUCUUUGCCGAUUGUGAACCUGCCUGACGAGGGUCGGAGGUCAUGCGGGCGGCUUUCGCUCUGAGCUGUGCCAACACACGGUGAGACGCAGCCAGCGUCGCCACGGUGCUCGGCCACAACAGCAACACUUUAAAGCCGCUGACUGCGCUAACUGUGCUAACAGGGCCGGUGGCGAAAACAGCGGCUAGAGAGGUGAUGGUGUUUUGGGUGGGUACAACACCCUCAGUCAGGACGCCGCUGCCCGCUGUUUGAUUGCAGUGGCGGGAGGAGACCAUCAGCCGGCCAUUUGGGACCAACGAAGAGACUCACGUGCACUAAGAAACGCACACACACACACACACACACAGGGAACUAGAGGGUCUUCAUUCUCUUCUCUAGGAGGAGUCAUUACUUCACUUAUAUCACAAGUGGUUGUUGGCUGCUGAAUAAUGCUGGGAGGAUUGUAUAGAGGACCUGUGAUGUCAGCUGUCAUUACUACAUGAAGCCAAUCUAUCUUCUGGUCCCUAUUUAUACAUUAAUGGAGAUGACUGUGCUAUCUGCAAUGAUUACAACCCUUAAAUGAAAGCAGAGGCAUAACGCCAAACAGAACGUCGCAUGUAACAGUAAUAUGUCACAUAAAUAAAGCACAUUAGUUUACAUGUUAGCAGAAGCGCAGCUUGCUAUCAGCGAUGAGCUAAUGAAGAUAUGUCCUGUGAUUAUGAGUGAUGAACACUGUAGGUGUGGGACUGCUCCGGUCUGUACCUUUAUCUGGCGCACACGCGUCCGCUCCUUUUCAACACUGUAGAUAAGCAAACGAACGCGGCGUGAUAACAGUCAACCACCAUGUUGAAAAUGAUCACCUCAUGGCCUCGACCUCAUUCACACUUUCACCCCACGUUUUUCACCCAACAUCAAUAAAGCAUGAUGAAUGUCAUCGUUUGAAUUCAAAUCAUGAAAGGCUCCAUCACUACAACCUCCCGGCUCCCUUUGAAAUAAAAACACACAAGCAGCAGUACGCUCAGUGUGUGCGCCCUGUCAGCAUUCCUGUUGUGGGUUAGCCAAACUUUCAUAUCAAACCGAUGAACCCGAUGCUCGGCUAAUGGUCGUCUCUCAGAGAGGGAGACACCGCUCUCUGCUCUUGGGACGUCCACCCAGUGUUUCUCCCUCGGUAGCAGUGGAAUGUAUGGGAGACACAACAACCAGUGACCUUCCAGCCACCAUAAGCCCACCUCAUGUGAGACGAUAACAGCUCCUCCGCAUGGACGCGGACGCGUCACGAGGCUGCUCUGCAGCUACGCUGAAUACACGAAUUCAAUUAAAAAGUGACAACUGUAACAUCUACAAAGUAAUGUCUUGUGCACUGGUAUUGUGGAGGUUUGACAUUUUGUUGUAAGACUGGUUUGCAAUAAUCAGAAACUCUUUGGUCUGAGCUUUGAUUACAAUAUUAUAUUGAUCUGUGCCUUAUUAUGUUAACAGACGUCUCUGUGGGUGAAGAUAAGUAAGAGUGCAAUGUAGGCGAGCUCAUCAGACUGUCCUUGAGGCUUUGAAAGCAGAUCCAUUUAGAUUGUAUGGCAGAGUAAAAAGAAUAUGGCCUAUAAUAUCUACCACCGCUUUGCAGAUAAUGAUCAAAUGAAGAGGUCUUAGCAAAAUAGCUUGAACCCCAACGCUGAUUAGAUCCAACUGUAGGGUGAGAAAAAACACUGAUUAACUUUAGGAGGAUGUAUCAGACUCAAUCUGGGUUCUGUGAUUUCAUUCGAUUCUGACAAGAAUCGCUGUUCCGUCCCUCAGAUAAUUCAAGAUUCUUUAAAUAAUGAUGGGUUACUUUAAAAGUAUGUGUGCCUGUGUGUUCACCGUAAAUGAUCGACAUUACAUUGAUCCUAAUAAAGCUCACAGAGUAACAACGACACUCUCAAGGUGCCGGACGUUACAUUAAUAUUUAUUUAUAGAACAGAAGGCAAGAAAAGCACCCAUUAAUCUCACUAUUCUUUCUUUCUUUAUCCUUAGUAUUGGUCAACUAAUAUUUAAAUGUCAGUCAGUUGGUAAAAUAUGUUACGCUGGAAUCAUUUUUUUUAUUGAUUUUUUUUCACCUAAAGUGCUUUUCUUUUGUCUAGAAAAGAAAAAGGUCAAAAAGAGGAAAGAAAAAGUGUUAACAUUUCCAUGGCUAUAAUAUGUAGAUUGUGUAUGUAGAUCACAAUAUGGCGCUGCCACUGAUGCUCGAUCUGCUUUCAGAUGAAACAGCACAACAAUUUAAAUAAUUUGUUUGCAUUGACACGCACAGAAACUGGCAGCUUCAUCAUUUCUUGAUGAAUAACACAUUGCAAAGAACAUCUCACAAUUUACUGUUCAUAGAUGGAAAAGCUGACUGACCGUACCGACACCCAACAGCUGAAAUCACAUUAUCACAUAUCACUCUACUCAACACCGACUGCUUUUCACAGAGCGGACAGUGUUGACAUGCCACGUGCCGGUGGACUCCGAGGCCCACCCAGCUGUUUGCUCGCCGCGCAGUAAUGAACUCGCUUGACUCGCUAAAACCGCCGCCCUGCGACAGCGGCGCUCACGGCUGCCUGGGAAAUAAGAUCGACUAUUAGCAGAUGAAACGGCGCUAUCGCUUCCAUCUCGCCUCCAAUCAGGAACUUGUUUGCCUCGGCACAACCCAGAGGAGAGCGCGCGGGGGCCUCGGCUGGUGCCACCAAAUGGCGCCCAGACCGCCAGUGCAAUUAGGCCCCGCGUGGCGCGGGCUGCCAUUACGGAUGAGAAUCAAAUUACCUUCAUUAACCUGCCAAGUUGGCCGAAGGCGUCGCCACCCACUGGUUCUGUCGCCUCCCCCACCACCCAUCUCCCCCCCCCGCCCUCGUGAAGGAAGAUGAAUGACGACCCCAAAGAGGUGCGGCGUGCUGAUGUCCCCGCGGAGUUCUAAUGCAACAUCCCCUCCCAAAAUUUUCUAAUGCAUUCAUGCUCAUGGAAACCAUUUCCGCUGCCUCCACCGCGUGUGUUUUAAUGUUGCAGAGAUGGAACGCGUGGCUUGAAAACAAUAUCGCGCGGUGGGAGGUCAUUAGCCCUCCUGGCUCGACAAAUGGGACGAUACCUAUGUGCCCGCAUGCUCUUGACCGCUGCAUAUGGCGCCUUCAUGAAUAGACAUUGUGCCGCCGCCGCGCCCCCACGACGCUGGAACGCAUUUAUUUAUCACCGUAACUGGGUGCGCGUGAACGGGGGCCGCGGGGGGAUAAAACACGGCUAAAUUGCACCACAAUGACGAAUAAGGAAGAGUGAAUGAAGGCGUGGGAUUAGGGAGGACAUCACAGUCAUUUUUUUCUUCCUCUGGUUUGACCU
ensembl:lncRNA